rnacentral:rRNA from 1 species
UACGUAGGGUGCAAGCGUUAAUCGGAAUUACUGGGCGUAAAGCGUGCGCAGGCGGUUUUGUAAGUCUGUCGUGAAAGCCCCGGGCUCAACCUGGGAAUUGCGAUGGAGACUGCAAGGCUUGAAUCUGGCAGAGGGGGGUAGAAUUCCACGUGUAACAGUGAAAUGCGUAGAGAUGUGGAGGAACACCGAUGGCGAAGGCAGCCCCCUGGGUCAAGAUUGACGCUCAUGCACGAAAGCGUGGGGAGCAAACAGG